GAGCGAAAGCGUGGGGAGCGAACAGGCUUAGAUACCCUGGUAGUCCACGCUGUAAACGGUGGGUACUAGGUGUGGGGUCCAUUCCACGGGUUCCGUGCCGUAGCUAACGCUUUAAGUACCCCGCCUGGGGAGUACGGCCGCAAGGCUAAAACUCAAAGGAAUUGACGGGGCCCCGCACAAGCGGCGGAGCAUGCGGAUUAAUUCGAUGCAACGCGUAGAACCUUACCUGGGUUUGACAUGGAUCGGGAGUGCUCAGAGAUGGGUGUGCCUCUUUUGGGGUCGGUUCACAGGUGGUGCAUGGCUGUCGUCAGCUCGUGUCGUGAGAUGUUGGGUUAAGUCCCGCAACGAGCGCAACCCUUGUUCACUGUUGCCAGCACGUUAUGGUGGGGACUCAGUGGAGACCGCCGGGGUCAACUCGGAGGAAGGUGGGGAUGACGUCAAGUCAUCAUGCCCCUUAUGUCCAGGGCUUCACGCAUGCUACAAUGGCUGGUACAGAGAGUGGCGAGCCUGUGAGGGUGAGCGAAUCUCGGAAGGCCGGUCUCAGUUCGGAUUGGGGUCUGCAACUCGACCUCAUGAAGUCGGAGUCGCUAGUAAUCGCAGAUCAGCAACGCUGCGGUGAAUACGUUCCCGGGCCUUGUACACACCGCCCA
rnacentral:rRNA from 1 species